rnacentral:rRNA from 1 species
AACGAACGCUGGCGGCAGGCCUAACACAUGCAAGUCGAACGCUCGUAGCAAUACGAGAGUGGCAGACGGGUGAGUAACACGUGGGAACCUUCCCUAUGGUUCGGAAUAGCCCAGGGAAACUUGGGGUAAUACCGGAUAAGCCCUUCGGGGGAAAGAUUUAUCGCCAUUGGAUGGGCCCGCGUCGGAUUAGCUAGUUGGUGGGGUAACGGCCCACCAAGGCGACGAUCCGUAGCUGGUCUGAGAGGANGAUCAGCCACACUGGGACUGAGACACGGCCCAGACUCCUACGGGAGGCAGCAGUGGGGAAUAUUGGACAAUGGGCGCAAGCCUGAUCCAGCCAUGCCGCGUGAGUGACGAAGGUCUUCGGAUUGUAAAGCUC